rnacentral:rRNA from 1 species
AUUGAACGCUGGCGGCAGGCCUAACACAUGCAAGUCGAGCGAGCGGCGGACGGGUGAGUAAUGUAUGGGGACUGCCCGAUAGAGGGGGAUAACUACUGGAAACGGUGGCUAAUACCGCAUACUAUCGGAUAACCCAUAUGGGUUUAGCUGGUAGGUGGGGUAAAGGCUCACAUAGGCCACGAUCUCUAGCUGGUCUGAGCGGAUGAUCGUCCAACGUGGAACGGAAACACGGCCCGGACCCCUACGGGGGCAGCAGUGGGGAAUAUUGCACAAUGGGCGCAAGCCUGAUGAAGCCAUGCGGCGUGUAUGAAGAAGGCCUUAGGUUGGUAAACUCCUUUCAGCGGGGAGGCGUUACCCACAGAAGAAGCACCGGCUAACUCCGUGCCAGCAGCCGCGGUAAUUC